GAUGAAGAACGUAGCGAAAUGCGAUAAGUAAUGUGAAUUGCAGAAUUCAGUGAAUCAUCGAAUCUUUGAACGCACAUUGCGCCCUUGGUAUUCCGAGGGGCAUGCCUGUUCGAGCGUCAUUAUAACCCCUCAAGCUCAGCUUGGUGUUGGGGCCUGCUGCACUGGCAGCCCUUAAAAUCAGUGGCGGCGCCAUCUGGCUCUAAGCGUAGUAAUUCUUCUCGCUAUGGAGUCCUGGUGGAUGCUUGCCAUCAACCCCCAAUUUUUCUAUGGUUGACCUCGGAUCAGGUAGGGAUACCCGCUGAACUUAAGCAUAUCAAUAAGCGGAGGA
rnacentral:misc_RNA from 1 species